UCCCUGGUGGCUCAGAGGUUAAAGCGUCUGCCUGCAAUGUGGGAGGCCCAGGUUCGAUCCUUGGGUUGGGAA
rnacentral:tRNA from 1 species